GACGUAGGUGGCGAACGUUAUCCGGAAUUAUUGGGCGUAAAGGGUGCGUAGGCGGCAUAAUAAGUUAUUGGUGGGAAAUCGAGGCCCAACCUCGUGGAAACUGAUAAUACUGUUUUGCUUGAGUACAGGAGAGGUUAACGGAACUCCAUGUGGAGCGGUAAAAUGUGUAGAUAUAUGGAAGAACAUCAAUAACGGCGAAGGCAGUUAACUAUUCUGUUACUGACGUUGAGGCACGAAAGCGUGGGGAGCAAAAAGG
rnacentral:rRNA from 1 species